rnacentral:rRNA from 1 species
GAUGAACGCUGGCGGCGUGCCUAACACAUGCAAGUCGAACGAUGAAACUUAAAUGAUUUCUUCGGAAUGAACUUAAGGGGAUUAGUGGCGGACGGGUGAGUAACGCCUGAGUAACCUGCCUUACACAAGGGGAUAGCCGGUUGAAACGACGAAUAAUACCCUAUGAUGUUUCUAUCUCGCAUGAGAUAUUAUCCCAAGUGUUAGCGGUGUAAGAUGGACUUGCGUCUGAUUAGCUAGAGGGUGAGAAAAAAGCCCACCAAGGCAACGAUCAGUAGCCGGAUUGAGAGCGUGUACGGCACCAUUGCGACUGAGACACGGACCAGACUCCUACGGGUGGCAGCAGUGGUGAAUUUGGCACACUGGGGGAAACACUGAUGCAGCGGCGUCGUGUGAUUUAGAAAGCAUUCGGGUUGUAAUAUUCUUUUGUCUAGGAAGAAAAUGACGGUACUAUACGAAUAAGGCCCGGCUAAUUACGUG